UGCGUUGGUAUAUAUUCGAAAAAUUCUCUCUCUUCCGCGUUUGACUAAAUUUUUCACAUCAUCUGUUAUUUUCAUCGUUACCAUACCAGCGCAUUGGAAGCAUUCGCUGUUAUUGAUUGUAAAGAAGUCCAGAAGUAACAAUAAACUCUAAGUUCUGUGUGUGUUGUCUCGAAUUCUGAGGAAUUCGCUCCCAUCAGCGAAGAGUGGUGGAUUUGUAGCAGCGAGCCGUUAACUAUUGGAGAGGUGCAAUUAAAGUUGCAACAGUGAACCAGCAUUUACAAUCUAAAAAUCCGAUGAUUGGAUUGAAUUGGAAUGUUAUCAUGAUGUACUCUGAUCGGAUUUUAUUCGAAACGCCGCAACGAGCUGGUUUCGAAGUUGUUUCUAGAAAAUUGGACGCCACCAAAAGGAAUGCUCGAUAAAUCACAAGCACCAACCAAUAUACAAUUUCUUUCACCCCCGAUGAGUGAAUUAAACCCUAAUAUUGUAAUAGUGGACUCCUCUUGGAUUUACAAGCGUUUUGACGUCGCAUCGAUGCCAUCUAGUCAAACGAAUGGUUUCAAACUAUUAUAUCCGUUCAUCCAAUCUUGCAAAAACUGGCAGUCACCGAAGGGAUGCUUGUGAUUUCCAUUUCCAUGCUUGAUUAUCAUCAAGUAUCAUCGGGAUCAGCAUUGAUCUUUGUUAACUAAAUUUAAUACUGAAUUUAUAAUAUUUAUACAUAGUUAAAAAAUAUGUAACAAUUAGUAAUGUUAUUAAAAUAUUUAAUUAAAAUGUCUCAUGAAAACAUUAAUAAAAAGUAGCUAA